UACGUAGGGUGCAAGCGUUGUCCGGAAUUAUUGGGCGUAAAGAGCUCGUAGGCGGUCUGUUGCGUCGGCUGUGAAAACCCGGGGCUCAACUCCGGGCCUGCAGCCGAUACGGGCAGACUAGAGUUCGGCAGGGGAGACUGGAAUUCCUGGUGUAGCGGUGAAAUGCGCAGAUAUCAGGAGGAACGCCGGUGGCGAAGGCGGGUCUCCGGGCCGAUACUGACGCUGAGGAGCGAAAGCGUGGGGAGCGAACAGG
rnacentral:rRNA from 1 species